CACUAGGAGAAACUUUACUCUUAGCAGUACCUGCCCAGUGCAAAGUUGUAAACGGCCGCCCUAGCGUGAGGGUGCCAAGGUAGCGAAAUUCCUUGCCUUUUAAUUGUAGGCCUGCAUGAAUGGAUUGACGAGGGUCAAACUGUCUCUUGCUUUGUGUAGUGAAAUUGGACUGAAGGUGAAGAUACCUUCAUAUAAAAGUUAGACAAGAAGACCCCGUGCAGCUUUUAAAAACUUACUUAUUAAGAGUUAUAAGAUUUUUAGGUGGGGCGCCUAGGAAGUAAAACUUAACCUUCUUAUUUGUUAAAGAUAACUGUCUGGUGUAGACCCGGCAAGUCCGAUCAUGGGAGAAGUUACGCCGGGGAUAACAGGCUUAUCCAUUAGUAGAGCUCGUAUUGGCUAAUGGGAUUGGCACCUCGAUGUUGAAUUAAGGAUAAUACCUCUAAGGCGUAGAGGCUUUGGAAGUGGGUCUGUUCGACCUUUAAUACCUU
rnacentral:rRNA from 1 species